UUAUUUUUAAAGCUAAUUGUUACAAUGACAAAUAUUGACCUUAAAGAAAUCUUAUCCUUUCUAUACUUAGAACUCAAUCAUUCACAACUAUUCCCCAAAUUUCAGGCUUAGUAACAGUUUUUGAAAACUCUAAUCCACAUUCAGGCUAAAUUGUCAAAAAUUCAAGCAAAAUCUCUUUCCAAACUGAUUAUUUUUAGGAUUCAGCAUUCAUUUGUCCUGUCUCCUCUAAUAAGACAGAUUUUAAAUUGUGAACAGUUUUAGAAAGCUUGUUAAGAACAAGUCAUGCCACACCUUUAUUUCUGUUUUGGAGAAGGUUACCAUACUGAUAGUUUAAGGAGGCCCAGGAAGAAUCCUCGGAAUCUCAAGCACAUGCUCGUGUGAGCUGGGCAGAUUCCGAAGGGGCCAAAUAACAGAAUCUGAUUAGCACAAAAGAAUGGGCUGUUUGUCUACCAGCAGGGAGGUCGGCAGUGAUGACCAGACAUGGUGGGCUAGAUAAGCAUAUCCAGAUUUGCCCCUGACCAGACGGUAGAAAGGAUAACUAACCAAGAACGCACUAACACUGACCAAGAUCUCCGUGAGGGUAGAGGUGAAACAAACCCAGUACUUUCAAUGGUGCCCUUUUCCUAGCUCACAACCGGAAACCAGUUCCUUACCAUCUCCAAACCUCAGCAAUCUACCUGGUCCUCCAAGGGGAAUAAUUCUGACCUUGGGCUGAAGAGGAAGAUGGUUUGCCAGAAGGGAUCGGAGAAUGCACCUGUUGUGCAUGCGGGCCACACACUAACCAGCCUGGAAAGCUGCCUGCUCCUCCGCGCCCCGGCUAAUUCCCCAGUCACAGCUGGGACUUCACGGCGGGAGCAGCUUCCCUCGAAGUACAGCCUGGCUCCAAAAUAAUUCUCCGCUCUCCAGCUUAAACUGACGCGGGUCCACACAAGUCCCACUAAGCGGAUCCAAACUAGCCGGUGUGACCCACACCUCCAACAGUAUUCCAGAGGACAGAAUGGGGGGGGGGGGUAGCCUGUAAAUCCAGUACUUCGGGAGGCUGAGGCAAGAGGAUCGCACAUUAGAGCCCAGCCUGGGCAAGUUAGGGAUUUAGCGAGACCCCCGUCUCAAAAUAAAAAAUAAAACGGGCUGGGAUGCAGCUCAGUCCGAAGCCCCUGGAUUCAAUCCCCAGUACCUAAAAAAAAAAUUUCAGAGGCAUCCAGCCACCUUCUUCCCGGGGUGCCCGAGGUGGAGGGCAGGCGGAAAUGGGGCGUGUGGAGCCAGGCCGCUUCCCUCACCCAGGGACCCCAGCCUGGGCUGAACGCGGGGUUCCCGAACCUCCUGCCUCCCUCGCUGACAGAAAUCGCCCGCGCCGCCCGCCUCCCGAGGAAAGCGGCCAGGCGGCGCCGAGUCGCCCCUCGCCCCGGGAAAGCUUCGCGCAAGCCCCCGGCGCUGCUCCCACCGCUCCCCACGGGCUCCGGGCCGGGGCGAAACCAUCACCGAAACCAGCGCCCGGUGCCCUCCCCGUCCGCCCGCCCCCCGAGGGCCCUGGCCGCGCCCG